rnacentral:lncRNA from 1 species
AGGCACGCAGAUAGUAACUGUCAGGGCCAGAUCCCAGCCUGGCUUUGAUCUGGUUCUAAACUACCCACUCUUAACUGCCAACUUCUACUGACAGCCUUCUAGAAAAAACCCUGACAUUCAAUGUCUGGGUGAAGUAAUAGUAACAGGAAUCAUUGCCAUGAAGGGCAGUCUGUCAACUUGGGCGUGCAAACAACCAUCCUAAGAGCCUUUCUUGCUCUGAUAGGGAGAAAAAAAGGCUUCGGGGGCUACCAGAGGAGAAGAGGCCAUCAGUGAGUGAGGAAAGGGCAUGGAGAGAGGAAGUGGGGAAGGGAAACGGCCUCACCUUAUGGACCUGCAGUUCUGUGGGACGAAUUAAAGCUGUAAAGCAGGUAUUUUUGACUGGAGCAGCAGACAAAUGUUUCUGCUUAGUAGAAAAGUUACUGCAGUCAAUGCUGUUCCACAUCACUAAUGAAGGCUGAAAAAAACCACAGCUGAAAGCCUCGGACCAGCAGCAACACACUCUGAAGUAGGUCUCAGAAGACAAAAAGCUGAAAUCAACUCAUGCUUCCUGCUACACAGAAUCCACUGAGAGGAAAAGGAAACUUCACCGAAACUUCAGAAAGCUACAGAAAUGACAUCCAUUUUCACAAUCCCAGAAGGAAAGAUGCAUCUGAAGGGAAUAAAAACAGAGCAAUGGAAGAGUAUUUGUUAAAAUAAAUGGCUUUGACAGGGCA